GAGAAACUUUCUCCCCCAAACACUGCGGCCACCCGACAUCUGCACACCGAGGCGCUAACACAUAGCGUUAACUCAUAGAGGCACAACGACACAGUGAUGCUCCACAUCUGACAUUGAUGACACGGAACAACAGCAGUUCUUGGAAUGUACUCUCCCUACAAGAAAGAACAGCAACAGAUAAAACAGUCGUCUGCUCGGGCAAAUUUCUCAUGGAUCAUUGAUGCUGUAAACAAGCUAGCCAUGCAUCAUCUCCAUCCACCCAGCGGACGCUCCACCCACCCAGCGGACGCUCCACCCACCCAGUGGACGCUCCAUCCAUCCAGCGGACGCUCUACCCACCCAGAGGAUGCUCCUUGUGUCCUUCAGCUGCUAACGGAACUGAAGAAUAAAAUGAAACCAAUCAGAAAUAUUCAGUUAUUGAGUCACGAAAGCUUCAGGCAGCACU
rnacentral:lncRNA from 1 species